AACGUAGGACGCAAGCGUUAUCCGGAGUUACUGGGCGUAAAGCGCGGGCAGGCGGUCGGUCAAGUCUGAUGUGAAAUCUCUCCGCUCAACGGGGAGCAGCCAUUGGAGACUGGGCGACUGGAGUCUGACAGAGGUAGGCGGAAUUCCGGGUGGAGUGGUGAAAUGCGUAGAGAUCCGGAGGAACACCAGAGGCGAAGGCGGCCUACUGGGUCAGUACUGACGCUGAGCCGCGAAAGCCAGGGGAGCGAACGGG
rnacentral:rRNA from 1 species